CCUACGGGAGGCAGCAGUGGGGAAUAUUGGACAAUGGGCGAAAGCCUGAUCCAGCAAUGCCGCGUGAGUGAUGAAGGCCUUAGGGUUGUAAAGCUCUUUUACCCGGGAUGAUAAUGACAGUACCGGGAGAAUAAGCUCCGGCUAACUCCGUGCCAGCAGCCGCGGUAAUACGGAGGGAGCUAGCGUUGUUCGGAAUUACUGGGCGUAAAGCGCACGUAGGCGGCUUUGUAAGUUAGAGGUGAAAGCCUGGAGCUCAACUCCAGAAUUGCCUUUAAGACUGCAUCGCUUGAAUCCAGGAGAGGUGAGUGGAAUUCCGAGUGUAGAGGUGAAAUUCGUAGAUAUUCGGAAGAACACCAGUGGCGAAGGCGGCUCACUGGACUGGUAUUGACGCUGAGGUGUGAAAGCGUGGGGAGCAAACAGGAUUAGAUACCCUGGUGGUCCACGCCGUAAACGAUGAUAACUAGCUGUCAGGGCUCUUAGAGUCUUUGGUGGCGCAGCUAACGCAUUAAGUUAUCCGCCUGGGGAGUACGGUCGCAAGAUUAAAACUCGAAAGAUUGACG
rnacentral:rRNA from 1 species